rnacentral:rRNA from 1 species
GACGAACGCUGGCGGCGUGCUUAACACAUGCAAGUCGAACGGAAAGGCCCUGCUUUUGUGGGGUGCUCGAGUGGCGAACGGGUGAGUAACACGUGAGUAACCUGCCCUUGACUUUGGGAUAACUUCAGGAAACUGGGGCUAAUACCGGAUAGGAGCUCCUGCUGCAUGGUGGGGGUUGGAAAGUUUCGGCGGUUGGGGAUGGACUCGCGGCUUAUCAGCUUGUUGGUGGGGUAGUGGCUUACCAAGGCUUUGACGGGUAGCCGGCCUGAGAGGGUGACCGGCGACAAUGGGACUGAGGUACGGCCCAGACUCCUACGGGAGGCAGCAGUGGGGAAUAUUGCACAGUGGGCGGAAGCGUGAUGCAGCAACGCCGCGUGCGGGAUGACGGCCUUCGGGUUGUAAACCGCUUUCGCCUGUGACGAAGCGUGAGUGACGGUAAUGGGUAAAGAAGCACCGGCUAACUACGUG